AUUGAACGCUGGCGGCAGGCUUAACACAUGCAAGUCGAGCGGGGUGAUGGUGCUUGCACUAUCACUUAGCGGCGGACGGGUGAGUAAUGCUUAGGAAUCUGCCUAUUAGUGGGGGACAACAUCUCGAAAGGGAUGCUAAUACCGCAUACGUCCUACGGGAGAAAGCAGGGGAUCACUUGUGACCUUGCGCUAAUAGAUGAGCCUAAGUCGGAUUAGCUAGUUGGUGGGGUAAAGGCCUACCAAGGCGACGAUCUGUAGCGGGUCUGAGAGGAUGAUCCGCCACACUGGGACUUAGACACGGCCCAGACUCCUACGGGAGGCAGCAGUGGGGAAUAUUGGACAAUGGGGGGAACCCUGAUCCAGCCAUGCCGCGUGUGUGAAGAAGGCCUUAUGGUUGUAAAGCACUUUAAGCGAGGAGGAGGCUCUUUUGGUUAAUACCCAAGAUGAGUGGACGUUACUCGCAGAAUAAGCGCCGGCUAACUCUGUGCCAGCAGCCGCCGUAA
rnacentral:rRNA from 1 species